rnacentral:misc_RNA from 1 species
GCCAUUUAAAAUUAGUGUCAAAAUUAGAAAUAAAUUAUAGGAUUAAUUCAUUGUUUCGAUUAUAAUAAAAAAAAAUAAUGCCAAGGGCUAUGGAUAAAUUUCUCAUAGGAAAAUCAAUUAUCAAAUAAUGUGGUUUAUCCUUGGUGAAUUUGCUUCUGAAAUUAUCUUUUAUUUUACGAGUUGCAACAUCAUCUAUAGAAAUAUAUUUUCUUCAAUAAAGAUCGCAAAAAAUUGAUUGCGUAAUCAUAUGGGAGAUGCCUUAAUAAAUGAUUGUUUAGUUACUUUUAUUGAUGAAGAUGUAUUUGAUAGUGUUAAAGAUGAAAAAUUUUAUUUAAUGUUAUCAAAAUAUGAAAACAAGAAGGGAACAAUUGUAAG